rnacentral:rRNA from 1 species
GUCGAGAAUCUUCCGCAAUGCGCGAAAGCGUGACGGAGCGACACCGCGUGAUGGAUGAAGUCCUUCGGGGCGUAAACAUCUUUUAUAAAGGAGGAAAUUUUUGACGUUACUUUAUGAAUAAGGGGCUCCCAAUCUCGUGCCAGCAGGAGCGGUAAUACGAGAGCCUCAAGCGUUAUCCGGAAUCAUUGGGCGUAAAGGGUGCGUAGGUGGUUUGAUUAGUCUCUCGUUAAAACUUCGAGCUUAAAUCGAAAAGAGCGGGGGAAACGGUCAAACUAGAGUAUGUGAGAGGUGUGUGGAACUCAUGGUGUAGGGGUGAAAUCCGUUGAUAUCAUGGGGAACACCAAAAGCGAAGGCAGCACACUGGCACAUCACUGACACUGAGGCACGAAACCUAAGGUAGCGAAUGGGAUUAGAAACCCUUGUAGUCC